AAAAAAAAGCAGGCCUCUUCUUUAACAGCUUUUGGAUGCUCUGUCAUUAGAAGUAUUUGUGGGUUCCCAAAUUUGCUCAGGGAGGAAAUGGGUUGCAAAACUUUAGAGGUUUCUGAGGAGGGUCAGUCCCCAUCAUUUAUUUCAAAUGUGCUUAUAGACAAAAAACCUGCUAAAGAGUAGAUUAGAGCUAUGAAGAACGUUGAAUAAGUAGUUCGUUCCAGAUAGCAAAAUUGAAAUCAAGGAUAUAUUCUUACUGCCAGGUUGAAAGGACCUCAAAAUUCCUGCCAGAAGUUUAUCAUAACUGCAAUAGACCAGUGCCUUCUGCAUUCCUCUGAUGUACCCUUUCCCAGGUGCAGUUUUUAAAACAAAUUUAUCCUUACUUGACUGUCAUAUGUUGGGCCAGGUGGCAGGAGGGAGAUUUCUGUAACUGGUGUUGUUUGUGCAAAUAUCACUGAAUAUCAAGGAGCUGUAUCCAUAUAUGAACCAUGUCAUCAUUCAGAGAUCUUGGACUUGAAGCUGUUGCAAUAACUGGAUGGAAUUUGGGGUUGUCUCACUUGGGGAGCGAGGAAGCAUGCUCUACUUGUGGUACCUGGCUAACUUAUAUUUCCCAGCCUCUUGCAAUUAGGCAAAUGCUGACUAAUGCUACCUACAUUAGGAUGUUGGCAACCUGGACUCCCUUGCAACAUAGCUUUUGAAGACGAAGUUUCUGCCAGCCAGGGUCCUUGCAUGAUUGCACGGAGCAGAUCCCCUCAACCCGAUCCUGCCACCUGUUGGGCUUUCCAUGAGCAACAAUUUCCCAGGUCUCUCUGCUCAAAUGUCAUCCUGUCAGGGAGAGCUUCUUUGACCUCCCUUCAAAACAUCAACUGGUUAUUCCUCCCUCCUUGCUUGAUUUUUCUUCUUUGACAUUCACCACCUGACAUACAUAUAUAUUUAUAUAGCUGUCAGCCUCCCCAUCUAGAAUAUAAGCUUUGUGAGCGCAAAGACUCUGUUUCCUUCUCUGCCAUGUGCCAAACUUGUAUAUA